GAAUCAAGAAGCAAAGGGCACAUCACUCUC
rnacentral:piRNA from 1 species